GAUCCGUUAGCUCAGUUGGGAGAGCGCUACCUUGACAGGGUAGAGGUCGCUGGUUCGAGCCCAGCACGGGUCACCA
rnacentral:tRNA from 1 species